CCUCUGCCUAGCAGGAGUUUGGAUGGGGAAUGGGGAAGGGGCAGGGGGAAAGGCAGGGGAAAGGAGGAGAAUACAAGGCAGCAUCUCGUGUCCUGCAUGCUGGCAUAUCUGUGUCCCAGACUUGGAGCUCGCAACUGUAUGUGGACACUGCAGACGCCCAGGUGGGCCGCUGAAGAGUUGGGUGAGACCUCUUGGUGGGCUGCCAAUCAUUGUGCUUCCACUCCGUGAGCAGGUACAAGCAGUUGACACAGGAUAUGCCAAUCAGAGACUUCGCUUUUCUGCUGAGUCGGUGGGAAUGUUGGUUUUUCCCAUCGUGGCUGCUAAGCUAGGAAGAUGCAACGGUUGCUGGCAGCUAGCUUCCCCCUCUUGGUAGAGAGAGCUUCCCUGCAGAAUGAAGCCUGAUGGAGAGAAACAGAGCUGAGAGAUGGAGGAAAAGAACCCCAAUUGCUUGCUGAUUGUCUGGAUCCAGCCAUGCCUGAAGGCAUGCUUCUAGAUUUUCCUUUAAUUGAGCCAAUGCAAUUCACUUCUAUCUUAAACUUGUUUGAGUUUUGUUUCUGUCAAUCCUGUGACAUCUAGUGGAACAUAAUACUUCCUAGGAUGUUUGUAAAAAUCAAGUGAGAUAAUAUACAUAAAGAUUUUAGCAUGG